rnacentral:rRNA from 1 species
UACGAAGGUGGCUAGCGUUGCUCGGAAUCACUGGGCGUAAAGCGCACGUAGGCGGACUCUUAAGUCGGGGGUGAAAUCCUGGAGCUCAACUCCAGAACUGCCUUCGAUACUGAGAGUCUUCGAGUUCGGGAGAGGUGAGUGGAACUGCGAGUGUAGAGGUGAAAUUCGUAGAUAUUCGCAAGAACACCAGUGGCGAAGGCGGCUCACUGGCCCGGUACUGACGCUGAGGCACGAAAGCGUGGGGAGCAAACAGG